AUCGAACGCUGGCGGCAGGCCUAACACAUGCAAGUCGAGCGUGCGGCGGACGGGUGAGUAAUGUAUGGGGACUGCCCGAUUGAGGGGGAUCACUACUGGAAACGGUAGCUAAUACUGCAUACUAUCGGUUAACCCAUAUGGGAUUAGCUAGUAGGUGAGGUAAGGGCUAACCUAGGCGACGAUCCCUAGCUGGUCUGAGAGGAUGAUUAGCCACACGGGGAUGGGGACACGGCCCGGACUCCUACGGAGGCGGCAGUGGGGAAUAUUGCACAAGGGGCGCAAGCCUGAGGCAGCCAGGCGGCGUGGAGGAAGAGGGCUCUAGGGUGGAAAAGUACUUUCAGUCGGGAGGCGUUACCGAAAGAGGAAGCACCGGCUAACUCCGUGCCAGCAGCCGCGGUAAUUC
rnacentral:rRNA from 1 species